AUUGAACGCUGGCGGCAGGCCUAACACAUGCAAGUCGAACGGUAACAGGAAGCAGCUUGCUGCUUUGCUGACGAGUGGCGGACGGGUGAGUAAUGUCUGGGAAACUGCCUGAUGGAGGGGGAUAACUACUGGAAACGGUAGCUAAUACUGCAUAACGUCGCAAGACCAAAGAGGGGGACCUUCGGGCCUCUUGCCAUCGGAUGUGCCCAGAUGGGAUUAGCUAGUAGGUGGGGUAACGGCUCACCUAGGCGACGAUCCCUAGCUGGUCUGAGAGGAUGACCAGCCACACUGGAACUGAGACACGGUCCAGACUCCUACGGGAGGCAGCAGUGGGGAAUAUUGCACAAAGGGCGCAAGCCUGAUGCAGCCAUGCCGCGUGUAUGAAGAAGGCCUUCGGGUUGUAAAGUACUUUCAGCGGGGAGGAAGGGAGUAAAGUUAAUACCUUUGCUCAUUGACGUUACCCGCAGAAGAAGCACCGGCUAACUCCGUG
rnacentral:rRNA from 1 species